rnacentral:ncRNA from 1 species
UAUCUUUGCCGUCCGAUUACCAAAGAGGUAAUUUGCAUUAUAAUUAUUUACAAAAAUAUUAGUAUG